rnacentral:rRNA from 1 species
GAGUUUGAUCAUGGCUCAGGAUGAACGCUGGCGGCGUGCUUAACACAUGCAAGUCGAACGAUGAUCCCAGCUUGCUGGGGGAUUAGUGGCGGACGGGUGAGUAACACGUGAGUAACCUGCCCUUGACUCUGGGAUAAGCCUGGGAAACUGGGUCUAAUACCGGAUAUGACCUUCCAUCGCAUGGUGGUUGGUGGAAAGCUUUUGUGGUUUUGGAUGGACUCGCGGCCUAUCAGCUUGUUGGUGAGGUAAUGGCUUACCAAGGCGACGACGGGUAGCCGGCCUGAGAGGGUGACCGGCCACACUGGGACUGAGACACGGCCCAGACUCCUACGGGAGGCAGCAGUGGGGAAUAUUGCACAAUGGGCGCAAGCCUGAUGCAGCGACGCCGCGUGAGGGAUGACGGCCUGG